GAAUGCUGACAUAAGUAACGAUAAAGCGGGUGAAAAGCCCGCUCGCCGGAAGACCAAGGGUUCCUGUCCAACGUUAAUCGGGGCAGGGUGAGUCGACCCCUAAGGCGAGGCCGAAAGGCGUAGUCGAUGGGAAACGGGUUAAUAUUCCCGUACUUGGUGUUACUGCGAAGGGGGGACGGAGAAGGCUAUGUUGGCCGGGCGACGGUUGUCCCGGUUUAAGCGUGUAGGUGUGUGUUCCAGGUAAAUCCGGUUCACUUUAACACUGAGGCGUGAUGACGAGGCACUACGGUGCUGAAGCAACAAAUGCCCUGCUUCCAGGAAAAGCCUCUAAGCAUCAGGUAACAUCAAAUCGUACCCCAAACCGACACAGGUGGUCAGGUAGAGAAUACCAAGGCGCUUGAGAGAACUCGG
rnacentral:rRNA from 1 species